GAACCGUUCGCCGUGGGUCCCACC
rnacentral:siRNA from 1 species